CCUUAAUUGGAACUGGCUAUACACAGCUGUUGGUCAUUUAGUAAUUAACAGCUUCCCUGGUCUCUCUGCCGCUUAAACACACUUGACUGGCAUUUCUGUCACACUACAUACAAGCCACAUAAGUUUAUACACAUGUCAACAGUUUUACUGGAAAUCUUUUUUUAGUAUAGUUUUAGUAGAGACUUUAAGCAGCGACGGUUGAAGGGACGGCUAUGGCGUGAUGACAUUGAUUCUGUCUUGACAUUUCCUGCCGUUGUAGCCCAACUGUCUACUAUGGGAAAACAUCUGGUGUGCUGCACCCAGCAAUAUGUGAAAGAGUUAGCAGUCUGUUCAUAGACGACAUCCAUUGGUAGCAGUGCUCAGGAUGAGGCUAGGUGACCACAGGACAGAAGCCAAGCUGAUAGAGCGCUGAGACAAAAAGUUAGUUAAGAAAGCUAGAGAUGGAGGAGCAAGUGAGGAGGGCACAGUCACACCAGCAGAUGUUGGAGAUGAUGCAGCAACAGCAUGCUCAAAUGCGGGCUACCCAGGCAAUGCUACUUCACCAAGCAAUCUAUUGCUUGCUCUAAUUGGAAAACUUGUCAAGGAAAGUUGAGCUGAGAGAUGUUUAUUGUCCAAUAUUUAAUAAUAAAACAAAAUGUAAUACA